rnacentral:lncRNA from 1 species
CUCGUUGACAAAGGGUCUCGCACCUCUAGAGUUAAAAGAAAAUUCUGCGUGUUUUUAUUUCUAGCAUUACUCCUUAAAUAGAGCUUACAGAUAAAAUAGGAAAACUUGACUAAGUAGGAAAGCUUUUUUUUGAUGAAGUAAGAUGUUAUAUUAGCAAAAGCAUCUAGAAGAUGCAUAGUUACAAAAGUUGAGGUGCAGAAAUGAAAGAAAAAAAAAUUAGUCCCUUUACAGUAUGUCAAUCUAAGACAAGGGAGCUAACAAAGUCCAAAAGAUGAGCAGAACUAGUUACAGUAGCUAACUUAAUCCAACAAAAAAGAUUGAGUAGGCAUCUAGCUUUGAGAAGUGAUUUGGAGUUGAGAUCUCAUUAAAGCAUCUACUAUUCCUCUCAUUCCAUAAAGACCAAAAGAUAACUGCAGGGAUCAUCAACCAGAUCUUCUUGGGCAACAAAAAAGAUUGAGUAGGCAUCUAGCUUUGAGAGCGCGAUUUGGAGUUGAGAUCCCAUCGAAGCUUCUACUAUUCCUCUCAUUCCAUAAACACCAAAAAAUAACUGCAGGGAUCAUAAACCAGAUCUUCUUGAUGGUCUUAUCAACUCUCCAUCGACUCCAGCUCAGGUGUGCCUGUUUUAUGUUUUGUGGCAUAACCCAUUUAAGGCCAAAAAUACAAAAAAACAUGUUGGAUAGUCGCUGAUAAUCGCACAAGAAAAGAAAGUUCUGCGAGGCCAAAAAUACAAAAAAACAUGUUCCAAAGGUCAUUGGCCACCGUGCAGUGCAAAAACAAAUGUCUGACUGUUUCCACAUUUUCCCUGCACAUAUAACAUCUAUUGACCAGCUGAAGGCCUCUCCUGUUGAAAUUGUCUUGUGUCAAACAAGCUUCAUGGAUAACGAUCCAGUCAAAGCAGAUUAUUUUAAUAGGCAGCUUAGUUUUCCAUAUUAAUUUCCAUGGCCAUGCAUCGAUCACUUGGUUUUGAGAGCAUAGUUGCCUGUAACAUUCUUUCACUGAGAAAGUGCCCUUACUCCCCCAACAAAUGGUGUCUGGUGUACUUGCAUUCAUGUUGAACCUUUUCACUCUGGCAAGCAAUUCUAUCUGCCUAUAACAUUCUUUCACUGAGAAAGUGCCCUUACUCCCCCAACAAAUGGUGUCUGGUGUACUUGCAUUCAUGUUGAACCUUUCCACUCUAGCAAGUAAUUCUAUCAAGUUGUCCACUUCCCAAUCUUGCACUGCUCUUCUGAGAUGAAUAUCCCAAUUGUUGCCACUUCUGUUCUGAGCUAUGGAGAAGUCUUUGUCCAAUGCAAUCUGGAACAAGCUAGGGUAUUCAUCCAUGAGUGUAAUGUUGUUAAGCCAUUUGUCUUUCCAGAAUCUGAUAUGUGCUCCAUUACCUGCUUUGAAGUAGGAUUCCUGAAAAAAUUCAUUCCCAAGUUUCCCGAUGUACUUCCAAGGGCCCAUUCCAUAAGGUGCAUUAGAGAUUUUGGUGCUCCAAUUGUCUAUUUUCCCAUGCUUUGCAAUAAUCACCUCCUUCCAGAGACUUGAUUCCCCUGUGCCAUA